rnacentral:rRNA from 1 species
UCGCUAGUAAUCGCGAAUCAGAAUGUCGCGGUGAAUACGUUCCCGGGUCUUGUACACACCGCCCGUCACACCACGGGAGUCGGAAAUGCCCGAAGUCAGUGACCCAACCGUAAGGAGGGAGCUGCCGAAGGUGGAGCCGGUAACUGGGGUGAAGUCGUAACAAGGUACC